CAGCCGCCGCGGUAAUACCGGCGGCCCGAGUGGCGGUCACUAUUAUUGGGCUUAAAGCGUCCGUAGCCGGGUUGGGAAGUCCUCCGGGAAAUCUGGCCGCUUAACGGUCAGAAUGCCGGAGGAUACUCCCAGCCUAGGGAGCGGGAGAGGCCGAGGGGAUUCCCGGGGUAGGGGGGAAAUCCUAUAAUCCCGGGAGGACCACCUGUGGCGACGGCGCGCGGCUGGAACGCGUCCGACGGUGAGGGACGAAGGCCAGGGGAGCAAACCGGAUUAGAUACCCGGGUAGUCCUGGCUGUAAACGAUGCGGACUUUGUGUCGGACAAGCUAUGAGCUUGUCCGGUGCCGGAGGGAAACCGUUAAGUCCGCCGCCUGGGGAGUACGGCCGCAAGGCUGAAACUUAAAGGAAUUGGCGGG
rnacentral:rRNA from 1 species